rnacentral:lncRNA from 1 species
CAUCAAUUUUCCCAUAAGCUUAUUGUACAUGGAUAAAGGGGUCAAUGUUGCUUAAUUCAGUAAUGGUCCAUUCCAUAACCCCUAUAUAGUCACCUGAAAGCUAUACUUUCUAAUCAGGGGUUAGGUCAGAUGCAAUGUAAUAUGUUGUUGCAAUGGUCUCUAAAAAGGUGUCAUUGGGUCUAAGAAAUGAAUACUUCAGUGUGUCAGGAAGCAGCUUUAACUCCAGGGUAGGUGAUGCUUCUAAGGCUGGUACUGGAGGGCU